AAAGAUUUGUAUGCUCUUCCUAGUCUGACCAAAUUCUUGGGGUAAUUUUUUUCUGUGUGUUUUGUACCCAUAUUUCCUUCCUCUUUCCCUAGAUCUGGCCAUGGAGAGCUGUUGGUGGCUGAAGAUUUGGACAUCUGGUCCCAGUGGCAUCCCUUCCUCCUGCAGGCGUGCUGCUUUAGCAAAACUCUGCUUCUCCUCUGUCACUGGUGAGACUUAGCCAGGGCAUGAAUUUCAAAACAACCACAGAGCUGCAGGUUGUAUGAAUGUCCAAGGUGCUCAAUGCCAUGUUUGCACAGCACUGAAUUCUCACCCAGGAGCUGGGCAGCUCUGGGCAAGCUGGCUGGCUGAGAAGAGAGUGGAAGCGAGGUUCAGACCGUUCCAAGCAUCAUGGCUGCUUCAGAGAGGUUUUGGUGUCUACUGCCUUCAGGGAAAAGCGUGGCAGACGAGUCAUGUUUAACAGCAAAAGCUAGCUGGAGAAUCCCAGUGCCUUCUCUGGAGGGGAAUAGUGAAAAGGACGUUCAAUGCAAAAAGAAGCAAAUUGGAAAACCUGCAUUUUCCCUCCUUUUUCAGGUGACUUUAAGUGUGACACGUUUCUGUGAUACUAACCUGUUGUUUCAGGCUACUGUCCAUGCUUGUGGGUCUGGAGGGGACCAAAACGUGAUGCUUCAGAGAAAAUUUUG